AUUGAACGCUGGCGGCAGGCCUAACACAUGCAAGUCGAACGAGAGGGGGACGGGUGAGUAAUGUCUGGGAAUGUGCCUGAGGGAGGGGGAUAACUACUGGACACGGUAGCUACUAACGCCUACCAGAGGCUGUGCCCAGAUGGGAUUAGCUAGUUGGUGGGGUAACGGCUCACCUGGGCGACGAUCCCUAGCUGGUCUGAGAUGAUGACCAGCCACCCUGGAACUGAGACACGGUCCAGACUCCUACGGGAGGCAGCAGUGGGGAAUAUUGGACAAUGGGCGCAAGCCUGAUGCAGCCAUGCCGCGUGUAUGAAGAAGGCCUUCGGGUUGUAAAGUACUUUCAGCGGGGAGGCGUUACCCGCAGAAGAAGCACCGGCUAACUCCGUGCCAGCAGCCGCGGUAAUUC
rnacentral:rRNA from 1 species